GCAAGUCGAGGGGUAACAGGGAAGCUUGCUUCCGCUGACGACCGGCGCACGGGUGCGUAACGCGUAUGCAACCUACCUUAUACUGGGGGAUAGCCCGAAGAACUUCGGAUUAAUACCCCAUGGUUCUAUAAUGCUGCAUAGUAUAAUAGAUAAAGCUUUGGCGGUAUAAGAUGGGCAUGCGGGACAUUAGCUAGUUGGUAAGGUAACGGCUUACCAAGGCGACGAUGUCUAGGGGUUCUGAGAGGAUGACC
rnacentral:rRNA from 1 species